UGCUCGAGUGGCGAACGGGUGAGUAACACGUGAGUAACCUGCCCUUGACUUUGGGAUAACUUCAGGAAACUGGGGCUAAUACCGGAUGGGAGCUCCUGCUGCAUGGUGGGGGUUGGAAAGUUUCGGCGGUUGGGGAUGGACUCGCGGCUUAUCAGCUUGUUGGUGGGGUAGUGGCUUACCAAGGCUUUGACGGGUAGCCGGCCUGAGAGGGUGACCGGCCACAUUGGGACUGAGAUACGGCCCAG
rnacentral:rRNA from 1 species